rnacentral:rRNA from 1 species
ACAGGGGGGGCAAGCGUUGUUCGGAAUUACUGGGCGUAAAGGGUUCGUAGGUGGCCACUUAAGUCAGACGUGAAAUCCCUCAGCUUAACUGGGGAACUGCGUCUGAUACUGAGUGGCUUGAGUGCAGGAGAGGGAUGCGGAAUUCCAGGUGUAGCGGUGAAAUGCGUAGAUAUCAUGAGGAAUACCAGAGGCGAAGGCGGCUACCUGGACAAUUGCUGACGCUCAGGCACGAAAGCGUGGGGAGCAAAAGGGA